AAUUAUUUGGCUGUGAAGUAAAUUAUAAGUUGUCAUUUUGCCCCAUUUCAAAAUUGUAAAAUAUUGCUUUUCACCUCUCAGUUGUAAGUAAUCAAAAGAAACUUGAGAUAAAUCAAUCGCAAUAUAUAUGAUGCUGUAUAUCAUGUUGUAUUUAUCUAAAGUAAUAAUGUAUAUAAGGCUAAGCCCUAUUUCAAACUCGUGUACAGGGUUUGCGCUAUGUUUAAAAAUAAACGUUUGAGAUUUUUUAAAACCAGACUAACAAAGUGCUUGAAUUUAAAAAAAAAUCAUUUUUGAAUAUUUUUAUUGUCUUAAUUGCACAUGUAUUAUAAAACAAUGUACACAAAAGGCUUAAAAAGUGUUCUUUCAUCGCAGGUCAAUCUUUCCGUUUUGGUUUUUUUUCCACGCCACUGCAUAUUCAAAUUUUUCAUAGACACUUUCUAAAUUAUUCAUAUUGGGUUUUUUAAAAAUCUAUUUUGCUGACUAUCUCUUUUCACAGAAAAUGAACAAGUACUCAAGGGGUAAAGGGACGUCAUAUUGGUCAAUUAGAAGACGUGUUCAACAAAGCAACAUCAAGUUCUACAGUUUCACUAUUUGACAAAAGCCCCACUAGCUCAGUAACAGAAAAGAAAAUCCUAAACUGUUUGGAGAAACUUGUGACAAACGUGGAGGAAAUAAAAGUACAGACCCACCUAAAUACGCAGCUUCUGCAGGCCACAAUCACAAAGAUCGAUAGACUUGAAAGCUGUCCUGCUCUUGGUACAGAGGAGCCCGACACUACACUGCAGUUAGAUGUAUGUUUUCCUCUGGGAAAACAAGAAGAUAUAUACAGAAGCUGGAGGACCUCUUGCAGAGUAAAAACACGUGUAAAACUUUGGUGAGAUCAUUAUAAACUAUUGGUGGUGAAAACACGAAAAGUUCAGUAAGGAGACUACUUUCCCACAUGAUCACCACAAAACUAGCAGUAAACAUCAACUGGAUGGGAAAAGGGGAAAAAUUGCCUUCUCUUCACUGAAAUUACAGGAAAUAUUGAAAGAAACAGUGAGGAAGAAUCGCCUCUGUGCUAAUGCAACAGAUCUAGACGUGGACAUUUUCAACGUGGCAAAAGACUGGUUUCGCUUUGCUUGUGAUAGAGAUGGGGGACGAAGGAGAAGGGCAGAGGAAAAGAAACUUCAAAUUCAAAUUCAAGCGGAACAGAAUGAUAAUGAGCUUGAGGAUGAGACCAAUAAAUAAAUAGAUUCUUUGUAACACGCGUAUUACCGCUCUCAAUACUUACAUGUAAUAGAAUAUGAACAAUUUCCUUGUUAAUUUUGUAAUUGUAUCGGAUACCUUCUCUUUCAUUUGUGUAACUGAAUUUUUUAACUCUUUUAAAGUAAUACACCAAACAUUAAUAAAAUAUUAGGCAAAUGAAGAUCCCUUUCAAUUUGAAUAGUUAUUAACUUUGUUGUUGCAGAGUUCUGAGACUUCAUUUUUAUAUUUAAUAUUUUAUGUCAUGCCGUAUAGAGUUAUGGAACUUUUUAACUUUUUAAUAUGUACUUUUUAUGUCAUUCCUGCCUCUGAAAUAUAUAUUACAGGUCCUUUUCUGACUUGUCAGUUUUCUAGUUAUUAUGUACAUAUAUCAUGAUACUUGUAGAUGAAUAUAUAUUGCAUAUGUCAUUAAGAUUUGUUCAUUUUGCUUUUCAAAGGAAUAAGCCAAGAAAACAUUACUUUUUCGGGAAUAGUUUGUCUUCAUUGAAUCGACAUGCUUCUCCCCAUUAACUUUCACUGCUUUGUUAGAGAAAAAGUGUGUCAAAAGAGGAAAGAAGCAAUGUUUAGGGCAGCCUACUGGGAAAAUUCCAGGUUACAUACCCAUCAAUGUGUGAAGUAGUUUUAUAUUAUGCCAAGACAAUCUUACAUCAUCACAGUGCAAUGCUAGCUUUGUAUCAAAAUAUAUAUUUUUAUAUAUUUCCUAUCAUGAGUUUUAUAGGAUUUUUGUGUAAUAGCAUAUUGUGUGUGUGUGUAUGUGUGUGUGUGUGUGUGUGUGUGUGUGUGUGUGUGUGUGUGUGUAGUCAUAUUUACCUUCAAUUUAUUUAGUAAUGUAGUUUCUACUCAUGUGUGCAGAUGUUGGACUCAACAUUGUGAUAGGCUUUAAUAGUAUGAUUGCAUUGUAUUGGAUGGUAUUUGUCUUCAUUUCAUACAUUUCUUAAAUGUCUGGGACAUAUUUCUGAUGUAAUCCUUUUUGGUAUUCCUGUAUUAUUUUGAUAUUUUUAAUAGCACCAUUUUUUCACAUUGUAUCGUAAUAUUGUUCAUUACAUAUAUUUUUUCUUAUAUGUGAAUUUACAUCCAAGGCAAGA